AGCGUACACGGUGGAUGCCCUGGCAGUCAGAGGCGAUGAAGGACGUGCUAAUCUGCGAUAAGCGUCGGUAAGGUGAUAUGAACCGUUAUAACCGGCGAUUUCCGAAUGGGGAAACCCAGUGUGUUUCGACACACUAUCAUUAACUGAAUCCAUAGGUUAAUGAGGCGAACCGGGGGAACUGAAACAUCUAAGUACCCCGAGGAAAAGAAAUCAACCGAGAUUCCCCCAGUAGCGGCGAGCGAACGGGGAGCAGCCCAGAGCCUGAAUCAGUGUGUGUGUUAGUGGAAGCGUCUGGAAAGGCGCGCGAUACAGGGUGACAGCCCCGUACACAAAAAUGCACAUGCUGUGAGCUCGAUGAGUAGGGCGGGACACGUGGUAUCCUGUCUGAAUAUGGGGGGACCAUCCUCCAAGGCUAAAUACUCCUGACUGACCGAUAGUGAACCAGUACCGUGAGGGAAAGGCGAAAAGAACCCCGGCGAGGGGAGUGAAAAAGAACCUGAAACCGUGUACGUACAAGCAGUGGGAGCACAGAGCAAUCUGUGUGACUGCGUACCUUUUGUAUAAUGGGUCAGCGACUUAUAUUCUGUAGCAAGGUUAACCGAAUAGGGGAGCCGAAGGGAAACCGAGUCUUAACUGGGCGUUAAGUUGCAGGGUAUAGACCCGAAACCCGGUGAUCUAGCCAUGGGCAGGUUGAAGGUUGGGUAACACUAACUGGAGGACCGAACCGACUAAUGUUGAAAAAUUAGCGGAUGACUUGUGGCUGGGGGUGAAAGGCCAAUCAAACCGGGAGAUAGCUGGUUCUCCCCGAAAGCUAUUUAGGUAGCGCCUCGUGAAUUCAUCUCCGGGGGUAGAGCACUGUUUCGGCAAGGGGGUCAUCCCGACUUACCAACCCGAUGCAAACUGCGAAUACCGGAGAAUGUUAUCACGGGAGACACACGGCGGGUGCUAACGUCCGUCGUGAAGAGGGAAACAACCCAGACCGCCAGCUAAGGUCCCAAAGUCAUGGUUAAGUGGGAAACGAUGUGGGAAGGCCCAGACAGCCAGGAUGUUGGCUUAGAAGCAGCCAUCAUUUAAAGAAAGCGUAAUAGCUCACUGGUCGAGUCGGCCUGCGCGGAAGAUGUAACGGGGCUAAACCAUGCACCGAAGCUGCGGCAGCGACGCUGAUGCGUUGUUGGGUAGGGGAGCGUUCUGUAAGCCUGCGAAGGUGUGCUGUGAGGCAUGCUGGAGGUAUCAGAAGUGCGAAUGCUGACAUAAGUAACGAUAAAGCGGGUGAAAAGCCCGCUCGCCGGAAGACCAAGGGUUCCUGUCCAACGUUAAUCGGGGCAGGGUGAGUCGACCCCUAAGGCGAGGCCGAAAGGCGUAGUCGAUGGGAAACAGGUUAAUAUUCCUGUACUUGGUGUUACUGCGAAGGGGGGACGGAGAAGGCUAUGUUGGCCGGGCGACGGUUGUCCCGGUUUAAGCGUGUAGGCUGGUUUUCCAGGCAAAUCCGGAAAAUCAAGGCUGAGGCGUGAUGACGAGGCACUACGGUGCUGAAGCAACAAAUGCCCUGCUUCCAGGAAAAGCCUCUAAGCAUCAGGUAACAUCAAAUCGUACCCCAAACCGACACAGGUGGUCAGGUAGAGAAUACCAAGGCGCUUGAGAGAACUCGGGUGAAGGAACUAGGCAAAAUGGUGCCGUAACUUCGGGAGAAGGCACGCUGAUAUGUAGGUGAAGUCCCUCGCGGAUGGAGCUGAAAUCAGUCGAAGAUACCAGCUGGCUGCAACUGUUUAUUAAAAACACAGCACUGUGCAAACACGAAAGUGGACGUAUACGGUGUGACGCCUGCCCGGUGCCGGAAGGUUAAUUGAUGGGGUCAGCGCAAGCGAAGCUCUUGAUCGAAGCCCCGGUAAACGGCGGCCGUAACUAUAACGGUCCUAAGGUAGCGAAAUUCCUUGUCGGGUAAGUUCCGACCUGCACGAAUGGCGUAAUGAUGGCCAGGCUGUCUCCACCCGAGACUCAGUGAAAUUGAACUCGCUGUGAAGAUGCAGUGUACCCGCGGCAAGACGGAAAGACCCCGUGAACCUUUACUAUAGCUUGACACUGAACAUUGAGCCUUGAUGUGUAGGAUAGGUGGGAGGCUUUGAAGUGUGGACGCCAGUCUGCAUGGAGCCGACCUUGAAAUACCACCCUUUAAUGUUUGAUGUUCUAACGUGGACCCGUAAUCCGGGUUGCGGACAGUGUCUGGUGGGUAGUUUGACUGGGGCGGUCUCCUCCUAAAGAGUAACGGAGGAGCACGAAGGUUGGCUAAUCCUGGUCGGACAUCAGGAGGUUAGUGCAAUGGCAUAAGCCAGCUUGACUGCGAGCGUGACGGCGCGAGCAGGUGCGAAAGCAGGUCAUAGUGAUCCGGUGGUUCUGAAUGGAAGGGCCAUCGCUCAACGGAUAAAAGGUACUCCGGGGAUAACAGGCUGAUACCGCCCAAGAGUUCAUAUCGACGGCGGUGUUUGGCACCUCGAUGUCGGCUCAUCACAUCCUGGGGCUGAAGUAGGUCCCAAGGGUAUGGCUGUUCGCCAUUUAAAGUGGUACGCGAGCUGGGUUUAGAACGUCGUGAGACAGUUCGGUCCCUAUCUGCCGUGGGCGCUGGAGAAUUGAGGGGGGCUGCUCCUAGUACGAGAGGACCGGAGUGGACGCAUCACUGGUGUUCGGGUUGUCAUGCCAAUGGCACUGCCCGGUAGCUAAAUGCGGAAGAGAUAAGUGCUGAAAGCAUCUAAGCACGAAACUUGCCCCGAGAUGAGUUCUCCCUGACUCCUUGA
rnacentral:rRNA from 1 species